GGUUGCGAUCAUACCAGCACUAAAGCACCGGAUCCCAUCAGAACUCCGAAGUUAAGCGUGCUUGGGCGAGAGUAGUACUAGGAUGGGUGACCUCCUGGGAAGUCCUCGUGUUGCAUUCC
rnacentral:rRNA from 1 species